GCGCUCUUAGCUCAACUGGUUAGAGCAUCGGACUUUUAAUCCGCUGGUUCUGGGUUCGAGUCCCAGAGAGCGCACCA
rnacentral:tRNA from 1 species